rnacentral:lncRNA from 1 species
UAUAAUAUAAUACUAGUAGUAUGCUGUAUAUAAUACUUAUAGAACAAUAACAAAGAAAAACACAGUGAUCAAGAGAGAAAAAGUGAAAUAUUACAUAAACUAUUCUAAAAAAGCAGGGAAAUUACAUAACCUCCUUUCUUCUUCUUCCAUGGCAGCCUGCUAUAGCAGCACCAUGGAUACACACCACUUGAAGAUCACGCAAAAAGUCAAAAUGAAAUAUAACAUAUAUAUGCGUCCAUAAUCAACAUUUAGUACUAGGAAAAGGAGGUACAUACUAUUUUUGUAGCAAAACACUGCGCAUAUAUGCAUAUUACCAAGGUGGAGGCGGGCGCCAUGGCCGAGGCUGCCAAUAAGGGUCUAAGAACGGCGGCGGAGGAUGACCGGGUGGUCCGGGAGGUGGAGCAAAAGGGGGAGGUGGGGGUGGAGGUGGACAACCUGGCCAGUAAGGAGGCGGAGGAGGAGGAGGAGCAAAGAAAUCAGGAUGUGGAUGGUGAGGCGGUGGUGGUGGGGGGUGAAAGUGUGGUGGCGGUGGCGGUGGUGCAUACGGACCCGGAAGUGGUGGUGCGCAAGGAGGUGGAUGUCUAUGAAAGGGCAUUCUUUUUGAUACUUAGCGUUGAAGGUAAAAGAGGAAAUUAAUGUAUGGCAAGUGCAGGGGGUGGACUUAUAUACCGCUACUAUAGACUAUAGAGACCAUAAGGUGGAAAAAAAGGAAGGGUCUAGACAAAAUUGGAGGGCUGGUAGUUGAAAGACUAGUAGUUUAAAAAAAUGGUUCAGAUUCCUCUCCCCAGGACCUCUACACAUUUGACAGAGAGUGAAAAUAAAUAAAAUAAAAAAUACGAGAUUUCAAUUUAAAGAAAUAUUUAGCCAACUGAUGAAGAUAGGGUAUCUAGCUAGGUUUGGAACUCGGUUGGUGACUGUCUAUGUGUAAAGUUAGGGCUUGUUUGGUUGGUGUUUUCAAUAACUGUUUUCUGCUCUUGAAAAUAAAAAAUACUAAAAACUUGUUUGGUUGAGAAAGUUGUUUUUUGUUUUUCUUGUUCUUCGUGUUCUCAAAAUGACACUUUUUAGAGAACAAAAAAAAUGAUGUUUUGCCCGUUUUUUUAUUGUUUAUAAAAUAAAAAAAGUCAUAAAGAGAAUAUCUGUGAUGUCCCACAUCGGAUAGGGGAGAAUGUUCCUGGCGCUAUAUAUGUAGAGACUCCUCUUAACCAAGUAGACGCGUUUUAAAGCCGUGAGGGCCCUCUUGGGCCCAAAGCGGACAAUAUCUACAUGGUUGGGUGCGGGUCGUUACAAAUGGUAUCAGAGCUGAUCCCUGACCCCGGUGUGGGGGUUUGUUUGGCUCCGUAAGGGGGUGUUUGUCUGUUUGGUCCCGUAAUCCCAUGGGACACAACGAGGACGUUGUGUCUGCAUGGGGGGGUGUUUGUGAUGUCCCACAUCGGAUAGGGGAGAAUGUUCCUGACGCUAUAUAUGUAGAGACUCCUCUUAACCAAGUAGACGCGUUUUAAAGCCGUGAGGGCCCUCUUGGGCCCAAAGCGGACAUAUCUACAUGGUUGGGUGCGGGUCGUUACAAUAUCUGUUCUCCAUGGCUUUUUUUUUUUUUUUUAAUCAUGUGUUGUUAGUUUUUUUUUUUUCUAUUUAUAUUUUCCUGUUUAGAUGUUGAGAAAAGUGGGGAACGAGAAUGAAAACAGAAAAAAAAAAAAAAAAAAAAUCCUGAUUUUUCCCAUUUCUCAGUUUUGAUUUUUCUUGAGUUGUUUUGUUCAAAAAAACAAAAAACUUGCUUAAGGACAUGGAAGAAAAAGAAAAGGAGUUGCUUUGAGAGGGUUUUGCAGGUGACUUUUUCUUAGUUUUGAAGAAUAUGAGAAAUCGGUUGAGGGUAAGGGUAGUCAUUUGUAAAUAAGGUAAUAAUAUUGGGUAAACACUUUUCUCAAUAGUGGAAUGGGCAGAGAUAUUUUGAAGGGACAUGGUUGGUAAAAAAAAAUCCAAACAUAAAGUGCAAAUUUCAAAGCAUAUUAGGUGGUAAAAUCUAUUGGUCAAUCCAAGCAAAAUACAAUCUUCAGCCCUGGGAUCCCUUGGAAAGUGAUUAUCUCCUUCCUUGCAUUUAUUUUCAUGUCCUAUUUAUUUUAUUUACAAGCUUGUUAGGUGAAGAUUAGUUAUAAAAAUUAAAUUAAUUCUUUUUAAAAUUUUUUAUCUCAUCUUAAUAAAAUAUACUAUAAUUUUUAAUAAAAUUAAAGAUUAAAUCAAGAAAAAAAAAUGUUAAUGACAAUGAUUUUAUCAUGUUUGAUUUAUUUUAAAAAAAUAUAAAAAAUAUUUUUAUUUUAAAAUUAAUAAAAUAAAUAAUUUUUUUAAUUUAAAUGAACUGUGUAUCUAAAAAUUAUUUAUAAAUUUAUAAUAUAAAGUUACUUGAAGAAAACAUUUUAUUAAUUGGAAAAGAAAAAAACAUCUUUCAAACAUGUUUUUUGUUUUACUUGUUCUAAAAAACUUUUUUAUUAACUCAAUCAAACAUGUUUUUUUUUUUUUUUUUUUUAGAACAAAAACUAUUUUCCAAAAUUCAGUUCUCAAACACAAUUUUUUUUUCUAAAAACACCAAAAACUGUUUUUAAAAACCAUUUUCAAAAACCAUUUUCCAAAAUAGUUUUUAAAAAUAGCAACCAAACAUGCCCUUAGUUUCUGCUAGCCUUUCAUAUGCAUGCAUGUUCCACCAAUAGUUAGGAUUUGGAGGACUGAAAUUACCUCUUAGUAGCACAUGAUUGUUUGUCCAAUUUAGAGUCCGUUUAAUAGUAAUUUUAGGAGGUGUUUUUAAUCUUUUUAACAUUUAAAUUUUUUUAUUAUUUAAGUAUUAAAAAUAUUAAAAACGUUUUCCAGAAUUACUGUAAAACACACUCGGUAUAUAAUUUUAUUUAUGUGGAUUAUGGAAGCAAUUAAUAGAAGUGACCCAAUUUGUACCAAGUGAGGACCAUACAGAUAAUUUAAAAAAGUCAAAAUAGGAGUUAGACUUUUGACGCAACAAAAUGCUUUAAAAAGACCUAUAUUUUAGUGGGUAGAUUAAAAUAUAAUUGUGUUCAUGUCAUGAUCAUAGACAUAUAGUGCUCAUUUUGACUAUUCAAUUCGUCCAACCUACUUAAUAGUGUAAAAAUGAUUAAAUUUAUGACUCAACCUAUUUAUGACCCUCUUAACCCAUAUAAAUGUAUUAAUUUUAUAUAUUUGAAAUUUUUUUAAAAUUAAAUGGUUUUUAAUUGUAAAUAUCAUAUAAUUAAAAAAAUUAAAUAACUAACCACAUAUAAUUUUAUAUAUUUUAUUAUAGAAAUUACAAAUAUUUUAUAAUUAAAACAUUAUAUAAAAUAAUAAACAAGUCUAAAUUAAAAUUAAAAUUUACUUUUAUAUUUUAAACAUAUUAUAAUUAAAAUUUAAACUUGAAAUUUUAAGCAACUAAAAAUUAUUUUAAAAUAAAACAUUUAUAAAUUAAAAAUUUUAAAUUAAGAAGUUUAAUCAGUUCAAAUCAUGUUGAUAUAUUUAACAAGUUUGAAACGUGUUAACGGGUUUAAUGAAUUAGACUCAUGUUAUAAUAGGUUAUCUAUAUCAAUUCAUACACAACUAUUUUUUUCUUUUUUAACACAUAAAUAAAAAAAUGUUUCUUAUAAAAAAAUUAUAAAAUUAUAUAAUAUUUAUUUAUUUAUAAAUUAUAUUUAUUUUGUAUAUAAUUAAAAAAAUUUAAAAUGAAAAAAAAAAAUUUUAAAUUAAAUGGAUGAGGUGGAGACUAGUAUGAGAAAUUUUAGUACUCAUUUAAAGUUUUUUAGAUGAGGAUAAAAUUUAUUUAUAUAAUCUAGGUGGCGUUGGGAUUAGAUGAUCCACCUUGUUGCCAUCCCAAUUUUUGGUGCACUUUUCUACAAGUUUUACUUAAUUAAUUUCUUGCUUUUAUUUUUGAAUGGGAGGGUUCCUUAAUAUGAAGUGAAUACAAUACCAGUUCCAAAGGUACGACUUUUGUGACGUUCAACAUCUAUUUGAAUCUAAUACGACAAUGUGUUGAGUAAGGAUGAAAGAAAGAGAAAGAGACGGUGACAUGGAAAGCAGAGAGAACUAGUAAAAAUAUAAGGUGACACAUUCCUUUCAAGUAGGAGAGGGCAGGUAAAUAAGUGCUGAGUACAUCAAGGAGAAUUAUCAUAAUAAUGUUUCUAUCCAUUUCCUACUUUAAGAAGUCACAACUACUCCCAAACUAGAAGUCUUAUCAAUGUUUAACUAUUAUUUUAGUAUCGUUACCCAAUAAAUUAUACGAGGAAAUAUCCUUUGACAUCGAUCAUGUUACACCUGUUUAAACCAUUACUAUUGCAAUUCUUACAUAUACAUCAAGAUAGUGUUAAUUUUUUGGUCAAAUAAAAUCAAAAUAUUUGAUUUUUUUCUCUUUAAUUGAAAGUAACAUGUUAAUAUCAACUAAAAAUAACAAAUUCACUUUACUUAUGUCGGUUGAUCUCAAUAAAUUACUUUCAAUUGAAUAAAAAAAUAAUAAAAUAUUUUGACUUUUUUUAUUCAAUAAAAAAACAAAGCCAAUCAACUAGCAAAGAAACGUAACCACCCUUUGGUCAUAUAGUACAAACUAAUCAAUUUACAGUGAUUAGUUCCCAAGGCUUCUAUCAAGUUUGAAAAUUGGGAGAUUGAUGCUUAAAUAUAACAUUUAAUUUAUUGCACCAAAGUUAACAUCCUUGGGAAAAGUCGGAUGUAACAUGGUCUUUAUAGUAUUCUUAUUGAAUUAAUAUAUAUAAAUUAUUUUUUAAUCAACCCUUGUUGUCUUAGUAAUAGUAGACUAUUUGGUGAAAAGAACCGUGCUUUGACAAUUUGUCAUCGCAGUGUAUUGUAUUAUUUAUAAGAGAAUAGGCAACUCUACAUGUAAGUAUAUUUAUAUGUAAAGCUGAAAUAGAAAAGAUAUAUACAGACUUGCGUGAAUUAACUUUCCUAAAUAAAGAUGCGUAAAUCGUGGCUGUCAAGAUUGGCUUUCAUCAACCGUGAGGUCUAACUGCACGUCGUGGUUAGCUUUACUAUUCGAGGUUCCGUCAAUCGUCGAUAACCUAACACCCCCCACACCACCCCGCAAGCAAAUGGGGAGGUCGCAUACCAUGAGCUUGUCACAUAGCAUCUGAAAACGGGCAGAAGACAACCCUUUGGUGAAGAAGUCACCAAUUUGAUACUUUUUCACAUAUAAAAUGAAAAUCAACCUCGAUAUGUUUAGUGCGUGCAUGGUAAAUGGGACUUGCUGCAAGGGCAAGACCAUACCGUAGGUGGUGAAAGCAAAGUGACUAGGAGGUCUUUCAACAACAUACGUAUCCAAUAUAAUUCGGUCACCACCAUUGCUAGUGCCAGACCGAGACACCACGCUUUGUUUUCUUGCACACCGUGAGACGAGACAUGGACCAAGAAAUAUGUUGUAUCCAGUAGUUGACCUCCUGUUUAUGGCAUCUCUAGCCCAGUCUACGUCAUAGUAGGCUGUGAGUGCGAGUGUUCUCUUGCUGAAGUAUAUGCCAUGGUUGACAGUACCUUUCAGAUACCUUAAAAUUCUAGUAGUUGAUUUCCAAUAGAUAUCAGUAGGAGCAUGAAAGUGUUGACUGAGUAUGCAAUUCCUGGUCGGGUCAACGUGCAAUAUUGCAGAGCACCCACAACUUGCCUAUACUACAUAACAUCCAAUUUGAUUUUGUUUAUUAUUCCUUCAAUCUUGGCUUUAAUGCAAGUUUAGUGGUUAAUAUAUAUGUACUUAUUCCUCCAAGUAUAGAUCAAAAGGACAUCGUAUAGGCCAAAGGCCCCUACAUACUUUCAGAUUCAUCCAAGUGAAAAAGACACGAUUACAUUCUUCUAUAUACACCACUCUUUGCGGACGAAAAGAUAUUUUAUAAUUAUAAUUUAUAAUUAAUUAAAAUAAAAUUAUUGUAAAUAAGUUAAUUUUAUUAUCUUAUUAUAUAUUUUGUAUAUUAAUUAAAUACAAGGCAAAUAUAAAUUUAUAAAUAAAAUAUUAAUAUCUCAAAAUAAAAAAAAAUACUUAUCUAAGUAUCAUUAUUUAUUUUUUAUUUUUUUAUAUAUUCAAACUAAACACAUUAUCAUUUUUACUAAUAAUGUAUUUUUGAAUUAGUAUAUUAUUAUCUAAUGUUACAAAUUUAUUAUUUAUAUUAAUUUUUUUUUAACAAAACAGUUUCAAUAUAUGUGGUAUUACUUAUUUUGAAAUUUUCUAAUAUAUUUUUAUUUUAUCAAUAUUUUAUGUUAAAAUAUUGAUCGAUGUUUUUCAAUAUAUCCUGAUAUAUGUGUAAAAUCAAGAUACUGAUACAUUUAUUGAAACAGAUAAUAUUAAUAUUUUCAUCUUGGUUUUCAUACAUCCUCACCCUAAAAAUAAUCCCUAAUAUAAUGAGAAAACCCCAUGGACCUCUACAUUUUGACAACUUUUUCUUCUCCCAUACCCACAUAAUCACAUAAGACACUUUCAAGGAAGACCGAAUAAGCUAAGUCUGUGAAUUCCAUUGCAUAUUGCAGUUGUGAAUCAUUAGCAAUGAACAUUGGGCCCGGCUCAUAUUGGCUUUGGAAUAAUUUAGAUAUGUUUCGUUUAUGUUAUUGUAAAUCAAAUUUUGUUUAGGACACUACUAGAUAACAAAAUUUUGUUUCUAGCCAAUAACUUUAAAUGUCAUAUGUUCAUCGCCACAGUUUGCCCUUUUGAAUCCAAGUAUAUCGCUAGCUAGAUUAUUAAAAAAAAAAGAAAAAAAAAAUGCAAGAUGUCGAUGAUAGUAAUAAUUUAUUCCGCCAUAGAAUCUACAAUAGGUAUGUAAUAGCAAGAUAUAAGCGAUUAAUAAGAACCAUCACUAGUAGCCAUGGUUACAGAGAGAGAAGAAACUUAUAUUAUGCAGAAUUCACGGAGCUGCAAAAGCACACACCUUCAUCUCCAACUUCUUUUCUGUGUUACACAACCUUUACAUAUGGGGGCACGCAUGCUAAUAAGGUGGUGGAGGGCGGUGGUGAGGCCAGUGGGGCGGGGGAGGACCUGGUGGUCCGGGAGGCGCUGGUGGACUGUACGGCCCCGGGGGUGGUGGUCCUGGUGGCCCUGGUGGUGGCGGCGGUGCAAAAGGAUCAGGUGGUGGUGGGUGGUGCCAAGACGGAGGAGGAGGCCCUGGUGGCCCUGGUGGCCCCGGUGGCGGUGGUGGCGCAAAAGGAUCGUAUGGUGGUGGUGGCCGCCCUGGUGGCCCUGGUGGGGGCGGCGCAUAAGGAUCGUAUGGUGGCGGAGGAUGCCUGUGGUGUGUCAUGUUCUUGAAACUUCUGGGAGAAAAUGUUACAGAAGCUAAAGCAGAGAUGGGUGGUGUUAAAUGGCGGAACUUGCUUAUAAACAGAUAGAAAUCACACAAUCAAAGAGACUAGUAGUUGGGAAGAGCGGUGGGUCAAAUCCUUUCACAUGGGAAAAACGACUGGUAGCUUAUGACAUCUCUUUGAUUCCUACUUCUCUGUGAGGUUGCCACAUAUGAGAAGAGGAGUGGUAGGUGUCAAUCAUCCGCCCCCCUGUCUCACUCUGAAUCAAAGUCAUGACGUUACCCUGACAUUAUUACAGGAUCAUUUUCUAAAAAAUAUUAUUAAAAUUAAUUAUUUAUACAAUUCAAUACAAAAAAUUAAUUUUUUUUUUAUUUUCAUACUGAACUCAUUUUUGAAGAGAUAAGUGAAUCUUAAAAAAAAAUACCCAACACGGGGUUACGUAGAUAUGAAGGAAUGACAUGUGGCGUGGAUUUCUAUCUAAUUAUCCAAAGUUUAGUCAACCACAUUUUUAUUGGGAAUAAUACUAUUUCUUAUUGUUGUGUGAUUUGGUGAGAUGGGGAGAAUAUUUGCGCCUCACACAAUGAAAUUGGGAAAAAAAAUAAUUUACCAGACAUUAAAAAUGCCAUCACAAUUAACUAAAAAAAUUAAUAAAAUAAAAAAGAUAAACUAAUCCAAAUAAAAUAUAUGAUCAAAUGUUAAAUGUAUAGGCCAACAGAGCUUUUUAGUAAUACAGCACCUGAAGGAAAGCUAAACAAGCCCAAAAGAAGAAGAGAGAUAGAGCCCAAAGCAUUCAAGGUCCAAGAAGCCCAAAGUAGUUUUGUUGGUAUUUUUAAAAAAGGAAGAUUGUUUGAAUUUUCAAAGAAAAAAAUGGUUUGGAUGAAUAGAUUUUCUCUUUUGAUUUUUUAAAUGAUUUAAAAUUGUAAUUUAUAUAAUAUUAAUUAAUUUCACUAAAAUGUUAUUAAAGAAUAAUUUUUAAUAAAUAUGAAUGCUAAUAUUACAAUAAAAUAAUUAAUUAUAUAUUUUUUAUUAAAAAUAUAUUAUUUUAAUAUAUAUUUUAUAAAAUAUAUGUAAAUAAGUCAAAAAUUUUAUUAUAUGCACACAGUUAGCACUCCACUGUGAAUAAAAUAUUUUAGAGUAGUUUUAAUUUAGUUUGCAAUUAAUAAGGUCAUUUUUUUAUUCUAAAUUAUUAUUAAAAAUUAAGAGAUUCCUUGAAGAAUCUAAAAUAUUAAGUUUCACUUGAUUUGAUUUUAUUUGAUUUAGAAUUUCUUUGUCAAGUGAGAAAAUUAGGAAAAGUAUGGUUAUGUGUAGAGGAUAAAUGGGAGAAUCAUUAUUUAUUCAAAACCAAUUCUAGUAUUAAUUGAUUUAGUAUUUUAAUUUCAAAUUAUUUUUUAAAAUUACUAAAGCCAUUAAUAAAUCCAAUGCAUUAAGUUUUAAAAUUAUAUAUAAUGAAGAAAUUAACAAAGUCAUUUAGGGUGAAUUUUAGUCUAUUAUUUUUUAAUAUUAAUUUGAUUGGUUUUAUGUUCCAUGACUUUCUAAUAUUGAUGGGAUAAGUUUUGAAGUUUCAAAUUAUUUUUAUAAUUAGCAAAUCCUAUGUAUUAAGUAUCUUUUGAUUUGGAAUCUAUUUGUUUUGGCAUUAGUUAGUAGAGGAAGAAAAAUAGAUGUAUGUUAUACUUUAUUUGUCUUGACCAGGAAGUGCUUUCUAGAAACAUAUAAAAAAUGAUGCUCAUUGACAAGAAGCUAGUUUCCAAUUUUUAUGUUUUUUUUUUUAAAUUCUUUUUAUUUCUCUAUGUUUUGUUUUUAUUUUUAAAAAAUAGGUAAAAAAACUCCUAUUUGUUUGCUAAAAAUAUUCUUUAUUUCACUUUGUUUUUAAAAACUGUUCCCAAAGAAUGAUGAUCAAACAAUGCUAUAAUUCUUUUUUUAAAUAUUUUUUAUUUUUAAAAGUAGAAAACUAUUUUAAAAUCACAUCACCAAACAAAUCUUAUUUUUUCCAGAAAUAAACCUCCUACAAAACUUAAGGUUCAACCUCUUUCUUCCUCCUCUUUAAUAUAUGUUUUUUUUUUCCUUCUUUUAAUUCCACACAUUCGUUUCUAACUCACGAUCUUGUCUUUCUUUCAAAUCUAUACAUAUCUUUAUGUUGGAGAUAUGUUUGUAAAUGAUAGAAACUUCCCUUUCAUAGCAUCAAUUAGCGGUAAAGAUGAAGAAGACAAUAAGUUAUGGUGGUGAGGAUAACUCUUUUGGUUGGGUUUUUGUAUGCAAUGGUAAAGUCGUGCAAAAAAAGGGUGUAUGUUGUUAACAAUGGUUCUAGUGGUUAUUGGUGCUUCUUACCUCUCCUUCAUGGAUGGUGAGUGAAGAUGAUGAUUGGUAAUGAGGGUGAUGAGGGCGACAACAAGCAUAUUAUAGGGUGGAUUUGGUAAUGGCCAACAUGGUAGGUGUACUAACUUCAACCAUAUGAAUAUUUUAUUCAACUAUGAGGUCAACGUUGAUCACUUCAAUUCUUUCCCUCAACAUUUUCUUUUAAACUUAAAUUUUGUAGUGUUUCUUUUUAGGUUUAUGUUAAUCCAACUAAAGGAAAUCAUCUGGGAGGCUGAAUUGGGUGAUGGUCAAUUUUUACAAGUUUUAAUAAUAUAAAUGUAAGAGAAAUAUAAAAAAUAAUAAGAAAUAAUAAGACAAUGAAAAGCAAAAAGAGAAUGAUAGAGAAAUUGUAUAUAAUAAUUUAUAGUGGUUCGAUCCAAUCUUAGUCUACAUCCACUUUUCCCUUUGUUAGGAUAGUGCCCUUAAAAACAAGACAUGAUAUAAUAAAGUUAGACUUUAAUUUUCACUUCUUUAUCCACUUUUGCAUUGAUAUUGAUUUGAACAUUCAAGCUCAUAUCACUUGUAUUGCACAUGACUUGGGUGCAUUAAGAGUUGCAUAGAAGAUACAAAUUAUGGGUUCCUUACAAGAUGAUAAGUAGUCCACAAUUUAUUAAUAGAUUUGGGUAAUCCAAUAAAGACUAUAGGAUACUACCUCUUAAUUGGAGGGAUGACUUGUCUUGGCCGUUGGGAUGAGGUUUUCAUAGGGAGUGCAUUAGUGUAUACAAUUACAUAUUGGACAAGACCUACAAUGAGUUAUUAUGUAAGACUAUUAGAUUGUCAUGAUUUCACCAAGCUAUUUUAUUGCAUGGAGUCUCACCCUUGAGAGGAUAUUGAACUUGUGCUGAAAUCAACAAGAUGUUUUGACAUGUGGGUGAGACCUUAAAGUUUUCAUAUAUUUCUUAUGGACUAGGUUAGUUUUGAUGGAGGUUGGUGGCAGCAUGUAUUUUCGAUAAAGGACCAUGAUAUCUCUUGAAAUUGAGACAACAUGCACUCUUGGGUGAUCCAAAGGACAUGUGACCAUAAAAUCUAUUGUCCCAAUAGAAGGAUUUGUAACUCAAGGAUUAGAGAGAUAAUCUUGAUAGACUGAUAACAUUACCUUAUUAGAUUACGCACACUAAUUCAAGGGGGGUUUACAUGCAAUUAAUAGUAGGUAAUGGACCCAAGCUUUGCCUCAUUGUAAUUUCAUAGAAAACUGGAGUGUAGUUGACUUUCUUUAAUAGAGUGUUAAGUAAACUUCAAAAAUGGAUUUUGAGGAAGCUAGUAUUUUGUUAUAAGUCUUAAUAGUCUUGUGUCGAGCUCCUAGUUUCUGGUGAUGUCUUUUGUUUAAGGGAUUGAGGUUUGUAAUUCAUAAGUGUGCAUAAGGGCAUUUUAGUAAAAAAUUCAAGGUUGUACUAGAUCUAUGAAUAGACUUUCUAGAUUAGGUUUAUUAAUUAAUUGGAGUUCAAUAGGGCUAAUUAAGUAACUAUAAUCCAAGUGGGUUAAAUUUGGUGACCUAAACCUUAUUUGUGCAUAAGUCACUUAAACCUAAAGGGAAUUCUAUAUAAGCCUCUUUAGGAGUUUAGGGUUUAAGCUUUUGACACUUUUUUCAUCAUCUUCUAGGGAGAAAGCAAAUCCUAACCACCCUUAAAAGAGAAAGAGAAGCCUACUCUUAUUUUGUGUCAAAAUCUUUGAAGGGAGAGAUCGAGUGGAAAAUCAUUAGAUAGACGAGCUCUAAGACGACUAUCGUGAAUUCAACAUCUUCUUCAGGUUAGAUUCGAUCUAGAAACAUCUAAAUCACAUGUAUGGAUUCAUUAUUUCUAGAUCUAUGUUUAUUAUUGGUUUUGAAUUCCGUAUUUACAUCGUGCGUAGUGUUGGAAUAGAACCCUUAAAAGCAAAACAUGAUGAAACAAAGUUAGACAUGAGCUUUCACUUUAUCUAUCCAUUAUGUGCAUUUAUAUUGAUUUAAGCAUUCAAAUCCAUAUCACUUGCAUUGUACACGACUUAGGUGCAUUAGGAGUUGCAUACAAGAUACAAGUCAUGAGUUGCUUGUAAGAUAAUAAGUAGUUCAUAGUCAGUUCAUGGAUUUAGGCAAUCCAAGUACACUGCCUCCUAAUAGGAAGGAUAAUUUGUCUUGGCCAUCAAGAUGAGUUUUUCAUGGUGAGUGUAUUAAUGUGUAUGGUUAUACAUUGAACAGGACCUAUGAUGAAUCAUGACAUAAGGUUAUUAGAUUGUCUUGAUCCACUUAGUUACUAUAUUACAUGGAAUCUCAACCUUGAGAGGAUAUUGAGUUUGUGUUGAAAUCAGUGGGAGACUUUGACCUAUCAGUGAUACUUUAAUGUGGUCAUAUGUCCCUACUAAUUAGAACACUCUUAAUAGAGACUGAUGGUAACAAGUAUUCUCAAUAGAGACACCAUGAUGUCUCAUAAGAUUGAGACAUUGUGUCAUCUUGGUUGAUUCAAAAGAAAUGUGACCAUGAAAUCAGUGGUUGCAAUAAAUCUUUAAGUAGAAUUUGAUAUAUGUUCUUUAUGAGCUUAAGUAUAUCAAUUGGUCACAUAAUAGGAAAGUUUGUAACUCAAAGAUUAGAGAAGUAAUCUUGACGGUUUUAUAGCACCAUCCUAUUAUAUUACGAACACCAAGUCAUGGAGAGGCUACAUGCAAUGAAUAGUAGGUCAUAAACCUGAGCUUUUAACUUGUUGUAAUUUCAUAGGAUAUUGUAGUGCAAUUAACUUUCUCUAGUAGAGUGUUAAGUCAACUUCAAGAUUGAAUUCUAACAGAGCCGAUAUUUUUCUAUGGGUUCCAAUGGUCCCUGAUCAAGCUUCUAAUUUAUGGAGGCAUAUUUUAUUUGAGGAAUUUGGGUUUUUAGUUCAUAAGUGUACAUAAGAGCCUUUUUGUAAAAAGACAAGGUUGCACUAGAUCUUAUGAAUUGACUUUUUGGAUUAAGCUAAUUAAUUAGGGCCCAAGUAGGUUGAAUUAGGUGACCUAAGCCUAAUUUGGGCUCAAGUCACUUAAACCCAUAAGGGAGCCUUAUAUAAAACCUCUUAAGGGUUUAAGGUUUGAACUUUUGCCAUUUUGUGUAUUCCAAAGAGCCCCCAGAGAGAAACCCUAGCCAUCAUCAAGGAAGAAGAGAAAAAUUCAUACCUUUCUUGUGCUUAGAUCCAUGUGAGGAGAGAUUGGGUGGAAGAACACUAGGUAAACAAGUUUUAUGACCUUUUUCAACAUCAUUAUUGGCUUUGAAACAAUUUGGGAACAUUCAAAUUGUAGGUAAGAGUUUUAACUUGUAGAUCUAAUAUCUAUUUUGGUUUUUAUAGCCAUAGUUUUUCUUUGUGUUAGAUCUAGAGAAGCUAAUGGUAAAUGUAUGCAUCUUACAAGGUCUAGAGCCAUAGAAUGGAGUAAUAUGAGGUUCUUAGAAACUGGUACUAGAGCCCUAGGUCAGGUUUUUGCAUGCUAUAACUAUUUUGUGCUCAUUUUGUUUUAUAGGGUUUGCAUAUUCAUCCCAUGACCCAAAUGAAUGAAUGAAUGAAUGAAUGAAUGAAUAUGAUAUUCAUAUUUGUGAUUUAAUAUAGUUGUGAUUGAAAUAUUCUUUCCCUAAAUGAGUUGCAAGUCCCAUAAGAAGUAUAAGAUUUUUAUUUUAUUGUAAAAAUAUUUUCUUUUUAAUAGAUGAGUUGUAAACUCCAUUAGAAGAGUAUAAAAAUUUUUAUUUAGUAAAAUUUCAUUUUUUUGUCCAUCUAUGGUGACUGAAGAGAAAAGAAGAAUUCUUGGAAGGUUUUUUCUUUAUGUUUUUUAUUUUUAUUUUUAGAUCCAUGAUAACACAUUAACCUUAACUUUGACUCAAAAUUCGGCUAGCUACCAUGAGUUUCUUGUGGCAAGCCAUAUAUGGUUUUGAAGCUUAAGAAGUCAAGAAUCUAAAACUUUAAAUGGUUUGCAAAUUGGUGUUGAAACAAGGGAGAUAUGAUCAAUUAAAGUAAGGUCACAAAAAAGGGCAAUGUUGUUUGGGGAUUGUGUUUGGACCAAAUUCUUUUUUGUUGUUUGGGCUUGGUUUUAGGCUUCUUUUUUAGUGCAUUUUUUUGGUGGCAAAUUGGUUUUUAGGGUUCAAUUUCCACCAACCCCUAUCUUUGGUUGUAGGGCUAUUUUGAUAAUUUGGAUUUUAUCCAAAUUUUAAUUAUCAAAUUCGCAACAAAAUCCCUAAAAGGUGAUGAGGAAAUAUUUGAUAUUUUUGAUUGGAAAUAAAUUUUCAAGUAUUUUUAAAAAUUAGAAAACUUAUUUGAAUUCGAAUGUUCAUGGUUAGGAAAUUUUAUUUGAAUAAAAAGAUAAGUUGGAAAAGGAUAAAGAUCUUUGUUUGCUUUUAAAAUUAAUUCUUAGAUAUUUCAUUUUAUUUAAAAUCUUCUUAAAUAUUUGAAAUCUCUAAGAAUAUUUUUUUUUCCAUUUAAGGAAGAGUUCUUAAUUAUUCAAAUCUUAAUAAAGAUAAGAUUUUUCCUAUUUUUUUUUACAAGAUUUUGAUUUAAAUAAAAUAAGCUAAUUUUGGGAAAUUCAUGAUAGAUAAUUUAUGAUUAAGAUGGUUAUCGAAAUAAAUGUUAUAAAAUUAAGUAUUUUGACAUUCUUAAUAAAUUUUCAUGAGAAGUAUCUUUCCAAAUAGUAUUUAGUUAGAAUUGGAUAUUGCUAUUCUUGGGUUGCUAUUUCCUUUUGGAGCUUCCCCCUUAAUUGGGGAUGGAUAGUUCUCUAGAUUCAUCUACCUUGAGAGAAGGAGAACAACACCUAUGGUGAUCCUCCAAGCUAUUUCCUUUUGGAGUUAGUGCAUGCUCACAUGUGUGAACCUUUUUGCGUUCUUGCAUGGGGAUAGUAUGGGUAUUUCAUCACUUUUAUUGGUGAUCACUCUAGGUUUGGAUAUGCGUACCUAGUACAUAGGUAAUCCGAUGCCUUGGAUAAAUUCAUUGAAUUCAAGGUUGAAUCGGAUAGCCCAAUGGGUAAACAUAUCAAGGAACUUCAAUUAAAUCAAGGUGGUAUCUCUUUCGAGUUUGAUUCUUUCCUUAGGGAGCAUAGGAUUAUAUCCUAGUUGUAUGCACCAAGAACUCCAUUGCAAAAUGAAGUGGAGGAAAGAAGAAAUCAAACUAUGAUGGACAUAGUGAGAUCGAUGAUUGGUUUCUCAUCACUUCCCAUAUUCUUUUGGGGAUUUGUCUUGGAAAUUGUGUUAUACCUUUUACCUAAGAGGUAUAUCAGUUUAUAGGAUAUCCAAGAGGAUUUAAGAGUUAUUGCUUUGUAGUCAAGAUAAUUAUAAAGUGAUUGUUGAAACAAAUACCAGAUUUUUUAUGAAGAUUAUAUGAUAAGUAAUAAGACAAAGAAUGAUAUACAUUAGAGGACACUAGAAGAUAGUCCUACUUUUGCAUAAGAUACUAUAGAUCUAAAAGUAUAAGCACAUGUCAUUCCUAAUACUUCUAUUACAGGAGUACCUCAUCAAGUGAGAGGUUUGUACCCCACGGAUUAUGAUGAAGCAGUAAGCGAUAAUAGUGCUCAUUCUUGGCGAGGAGUUAUGAAGGGAGAGUUAGAAUCUUUAUGUUCCAACAUAGUCUGGAUUCCUAUAGAAGCACCUAAAGGGAUAAAAACCUAUACGUAUAAGUUGGUUUAUAAGAGCAACAAAUGAGUAAGUGGAAGGCUUAAGACUUAUAUGAAUAGAGUUGUAGCUAAAGGUUAUAGUUCAAAACAUUUUUUUGACUAUAGAAAACCUUUUCAUUAGUAGUCAUACUCAAAUCUAUCAGAGUGCUCCUAUCCAUUACGAUAUAUCUUAAUUAUAAGAUAUAAAAAUUGGAUAUCAAGAUAGAGUUCUUUAACAGUCAUCUUAAUGUUAGCAUUUAUAUGAUGCAACUAGACAUUUUCAUAGCAUAGGACCUUGUGUGUACAAGAAGACAUAAGGGAAUCAUGAUGGUGCUCUAAGAUAACUAUCUACUCAUUUGAAAUGAUGUAGAGAUACAAUCAUUAGUUAAGAUUUGGUUGUCUACUUAGUUCUAGAGGAGAAUCUAGAAGGAGUGUAAUAUAUUCUUAGGAUCAAAGUCCUUUAGGACUACAACAAUAAGAAAAUUGCACUAUGUCACCUACACUAACAAGCAUUUGGUUAAGUGCAAUGUUGCAAGACUCUAAAAAGGGUUGCUACCCUUAAGUUUGGUGUUUUUUUUUCUUAGGAUCAAUGUAUUUCCACAUUUGAGGAGAGAAAAACUCUACAAUGGGUAGCCUUAUGUAUGUGAUGUAUGUGCUAGACGAGAUAUUUGCUUUUGCUAUAGGGAUGAUGAGUAGAUUUAGUCCUGUCUAGGAUUAGAGCUUUGGCAAAUGUAAAGCAUAUACUCAAAUACCAUAGGAGAACAAGGGAAUAUAUGCUUAUGAGUCUUUAUGAUCAAUUGAUACACCUUAGCUAUUGGAAAUCAAACAUUUAGUCUACUGAUGACUCGCUACUCUAAGUGGUAUUUGUUAUUACUUCUAAAACUACAAAGGAAGUCAUUUGGCUUAUGGGUAGUUCCCUUGGUUCCAUAAUCUAAGAUGUUAUCAUGUGACAAUAGUAGAGCGGUGGCAUAGUCUAAAGAACUAAGUUACCACUAGAAAAGAAAAUGCAUAAAUAGAAAGUAUUAUCAUUUUGAGAGAUAGUCCAAAGAGUUGAUAUGGUUGUGGAGCAUAUUCUUUCUAUGGUGCCAAUUUGCUUUUAGAACUAGUGAGAGUAUGUUGAGCUAUAAAACUUAAAAGAAAGAUAUGAUAUAACAAAGUUAGACAUGAACUUCCAUUUUGUCUAUCCAUUGUAUUUGUUGACAUUGAUUUGAGCAUUUAGAUCUAUAUCAAUUGCAUUGUGCAUGACUUAGAUAUAUUAGGAGUUUCAUAGAAGAUACAAGUCAUGGGUUGUUUGCAAGAAGAUAAGUAGUUCACAAUUGAUUCAUAGAUUUGGGUAAUCUAAUAAAGGUUGUAGUGUACUACCUCUUAAUUGGAGGGACAACUUGUCUUAGCCGUUAGGACGAGUUUCCCAUGACGAGUGCUCUAGUAUAUAUGGUUACACAUUGGACAAGACCUACGAUGAAUUAUAAUGUAAGACUAUUAUAUUGUUAUGAUUUAUUAAGCCAUUAUAUUGCAUGGACUCUCAACCUUGAAAGGAUAUUAAGCCUGUGUUGAAAUCAACAAGAGACUUUGACUAUGAAUGAGACCCUAAUGUGGUCAUAUAUUUUUAUUGAUUGAGUCACUAUUGAUGGAGGUUGGUGGCAAUAACUAUUCUCAAUAGAGGCACCACGAUAUCUCAUAGGAUUAAGACAACGUGUCUCCUAAGUUGAUGUAAAUGACAUGUGAUCAUGAAAUUUGUAGCUAUAGUUAUUCCUUAAGUGAAAUUUAACAUAUGCUCUUUAUGAGCUAAAAUAUUUCAAUUGAUCAAGAGGGUUUGUAACUCAAUGAUUGGAGAAGUAAUCUUGUUGGGUUGAUAGCACUAUGAACGCUAAUUCAUGGGGAGUUUGCAUACACUUAAUAAUAGGUCAUGAACCCAAGCUUUAACUCGUUUUUAUUUCAUAGGAUACUAGAGUACAAUUGACUUUCUUUAGUGGAGUGUUGAGUCAACUUUAGAAUUGGAUUUUGAAAGAGCCUUUCCUAUAGGAGCUCGAUUGCAUUAAAAAGAGUAAACUACACUCUAAUAUCACAUGAACCACUUGUGUGUCAACUAUAAUUCGUGAUCCUCAUUGGCGGGUUGCUAUGAAUGAUGAGCUAAAUGCUCUUAUUCAGAAUGGUACUUGGGAGUAUGUUUUGAGGUUUCUAAUCAAGCUAUUAUUGGCUAUAAAUGGGUGUUUCAAAUCAAAAGGAAUCCGAAUGACACCAUUGCUAGCUACAAGGCUUGACUAGUUGCUAAAAGUUUCCAUCAAAUACUAGGAGUGGACUAUCAUGAAACUUUUAGUCCUGUUGUUAAACUAACUACAAUUUGAUUAGUUCUCUCUAUUGCCUUGGUUAAUGAUUGGCCUAUUCGUCAAAUGGACGUUAACAAUGCUUUCAUGCAUGACACUCUCAAUGAGGACGUUUACAUGAUGUAACCUUUGGGCUUUGUUGAUUAACAAUGCUAUGUCUACUAUUGAGUCUCUUCUUCAAAGUGAUGGGUGGUUGUUGGCCAAUGUUAUCGAAUACCGACAAGUCAUGGGGUCUUUGUAAUAUCUCUUACUAACUUCACUAGAUAUCUAUUUCAUAGUGAAUAAACUUGCUCAAUUCAUGCACUCACUUUCUCAAAAUCAUUGGACAACUAUCAAACGUUUGCUUCACUAUCUCAAGCAUACUAUUUUUUAUGGUCUUUAUCUAUGUCGCAAGCAACCACUGUCCCUUCAUGCCUUCUUGGACAUUGAUUAGGCUGGAAAUCCUCAUGACCGAACCUUAACUUCAACCUAUCUUGUUAAUUUGAAUGGUAAUCUCAUUUCUUGAUCCUCCAUAUAACAAACAUUGGUUGUAAGAUCUUCUAUAGAAGUUGAAUACAGGUUUAUUGUGUUCACUACCAUAGAGCUAUCAUGCAUGCUUUCUCUUCUCCAAGAACUUGGAAUUCUAAUCUCACCUCCAACUAUUAAUUAUGAUAACAUGGGCAACGUAUCCUUGUCCCAAUCUAGUUUUUCAUUCGCAAAUGAAAGAUACAACAAUCAACUUUUAUUUUGUUUGAGACAAAGUGGCUUUAGGAGUGCUUCGCGUCUCACAUGUAACCUCUCAAGAUUAGAUAGCGAAUCUUCUCACCAAUUGCUAUCCAAAAUUGGCCAUCACCAAUUGACAUCCAAGAUUGGUGUCUACAAUGGCUCCCCAUCUUGUAAGGGUAUGUUAGACCAAUUGUUAUUGGUUAUUUUGUGACAUUCCAUAUCGGAUAGGAGGGAAAGUUCCUGACGCUAUAUAAGUAUGACCUUUUCUUAACCCUGUAGACGCGUUUUAAAGCCAUGAAGGCCCCUUUGAGUCCAAAACGGACAAUAUUUACAUGGUUGGGAGCGGGUCUUUACAAAUGGUAUCAGAGUUGAUCUCCGACCUUGGUGUGGGGAUUUAUUUGGCCCCGUAAGGGUGUUCGUUUGUUUGGUUCCACAAUCUCGUGGGACACAACGAGGAUGUUGUGUCUGCAUAGGGGGAGGGGGGGUUUGUGACAUCCCACAUUGGAUAGGAUAGAAAGUUCCUGGUCUUAUAUAAGUAUGGACUCCUCGUAACCCUGUAGACGCGUUUUAAAGCCGUGAAGACCCCUUUAGGUCUAAAGCGGACAAUAUCUACACGGUUGGGAGUGGGUUGUUACACAUUCAAAUUCAAAUUCAGAACUACUUGGUUACUCAACAACUUCGGUUCCUACAAUCUUUCCAAUUUAAUAUCUUAACAAAUUCCUUUAUUUGUUGAAUAUUGUGUUGCUAUUUUUAUGUAUAUUUUAAAUUCACUCUCUGAUGUAAACCUUGUAUAUAUAUGGCAACUUGAAAUUGAUAAUAAACAACCAAGCUCACGCCAUUUCCAUUAUUCUUUAUUAUAUAAACUCUUCUAUCCUCGUCCCAAGAAGUUGCCCUGAUUGUUUGUGGGGUUGUUCUAUUGGUUAAAGAUGUAAGCCUUGUGACAGGCUCCACCUUAAUUGUAGACAACCACGGGACUGUUAUGGAAUUUUAGUUGCAACAUUAAAAUAGGGUUUUCUAAUUUUUUAGGUUUUCAUGAUCAUCCAUAAGAAUAAUCUAGCUAAACCUUUUGCCAUUAUCUUCAGCCAAUUAGAAUAACGCUUUGUUAAAUUCUGCAAAUGAUAUAUCAAAUUGUGAGAGAAGAGUCAAGAAAUUUUGGAUGCUCAUAUUUGAUAAAAUAUCCUGUGAAGAGAGUUAGGUCUUGUCUUUUUGUUUUUUUUUUUUGUUUUAAUCUGAAGUUUUAAUAGGGUUCACAUUCUUUUAGAAUGCUUGAUAUUUUUUAGGUUAAGUCUUAGUCCCGACUUUCCUUUUUUUAAAAUAUAGAACUAGAAAAGUUGAACUUUAUUUGAGAUUUGAAGUCUUAAUAAUAAUUUUUUUUUCAUAGAUUUUUAUUCACAUCUUUCAUAAACUCAGGUUUCUUCAAAAUCCAAAUAAACAGACAAAUGCCGGCCACUGUAGUGUAGGUUUUGUUGUAACAGUUUCUAAUGGAGCAAAAAGUUUGAUUUGGCUUGAUAAGUAGGAUCUAUUGCAAUGCAUGCAUGAAAUUCUUACUUCAUACGGGUGUUCCUUUUUUUACUAAACCUAUUAAGGAGUAUGAUAUGUAUAUUGAAUCCAAAUCCUGUAAAUUUAAAAUUUUAGAAAAGAUAUUGAUAAUUUAACAUAGUAUCAGAUCUUGGUUUAGCGGGAAGAUUGAUCUCCUUUUCUACAAUUUACAUUUUUCCUAUUUGUUUGUUAUAUAUGAAUCCGAAUUUUGUUUGUCUUUUUAUAAGUAUAAACUUUUAGGAAAAUAACAAAUAAUUUAAUUUAUUUUACCGAAAACCACAAAAAUCAUAUAAAAAAGAAUUUGUAGCUGCAAUUCUUUUUUUCUUCUUUAGUUGAUAUUGAAGUCCUAUACACUUUCUGAAUGGUCUCCUUAGAGAUAUGUAACAUACAAAGAUGAUGUGUGGGGCUUACUUCUGGUUUCUAGCUAACUCCAUGGGUCAGUGCCUUUUCUGCAUUUACAUAACAGAGACAUCUUUAGGUGACACUACUGAAUUCUUUGGUGGAGUCCAACGGGAUUAUGCUCUGAAAUACACGUGAAAGUGGCAGAUUUUGAAGGUGCUAGGGUUUCUAAAAACAUUGGGAGUAGCAAUCUUAUCCUCAAGGACAUACAUGAAUGAUGUAGCAUCUGACCAAUUAACUGUUACAAUAACCCGUUUCACCUUCAAUAUUACAAGAAUUGCCUUUCAAAAGCUCAUUAUCCACCUAACAUGGCUGCAGGAGAUCAGGCCAAUAGUGUUGGCAACAUAUGACAGCAUGCAGCCAACUUUCCAGCAAUUAGUCCAUAAUUAAUAAAUGUUCAAGCAAAACAGAAGGAGCUUUGCAUUACAAUAUUAGCGCAGAUACAUUUUAUUAACUUAUAGGAUCAAAUGAUUGUUUUUCUUAGUAUAUUCACAGCUAGCUCCUAAGUUACACUUCAAUAUUUAGGAUUUCAAGAGUGAACAUGGAUUAUUCUUUACUAUCUCUUCGAGCAACUUUUGAUUUUUAAUAAUCUACCCUUGUUGGUCUGUGAAGAAUUCAUGCUAAAGGAUGGAUUCGAGCCAACUAUAUCUUGUUUAGAAUACAAAGGGAAUGAUUCAUAUCCUGCAAAUGCGUUAAUAUUAUGCAUGAUUCAUCCAUUCUGAGUGCAUGUCUACCACCAAGCACGAAAGCUCCACUAAAAAAUAAGGAGAAAAAUUAGCAGAAAAAAUGAUGGUAAAUGAAGUAAUCAAAAGGGUAUUGAGAGAUGAUGAAAUUACAUUCCAUGAAUCAGAACUUUAGCAUUUGUAUCUAAAUAACAAACAUGUAAGAUGAAAAGGAAGUGGAGUCUUCCACAAGUCCAACUGGCAUGGAUAGAAUAUAUACUGGCUGUCUUUGACCAUGGAGAAUCAGCUGUGGACAAGACAAGACAAAACUUCCAUGUGACUUUCCACUCCAUCUUCUGCAAUAUCUAUCCAUUUGCAUGUUCGUAAUCUUUAGAGAUCUGUCCAGUAUUAUAUACAAGAGGAAACAAGAUUUGCUUAAUGGUUCAAGACAUCUCACACAACUUCCAUGUAUAGUCAUUACACAAAAUAGAUAGAACAUAUAUUCAUCCUCCAUAAUGGGAAAAAAUUAGGAGCCUUUAAAGUGGUAUGAUAAAUCAAUUUAAUAACUUAAUAUGACUUAAUAACUUAAUUUAAAUCAUUAAAUAGAUGAAACAUGUUUGAUAAAAUAAUUUAAUAUUAUAAUUUAAAAUUAUUUUUAACUUUAAGUAUUAAGUCAAAAUAAAUAUUUUAUAGUUAACUUAUGUAUCUACAAUACUUUAAGAUGAAUGUUUUAUAAAUAAAUUUAUUACUUAAAAUUAAUGAAAAGAAAUAGGAACUAAAAUUAAUAAGGAUAAAUACUAAUUAAAUUAAUGAAGGUAAAUAUGUUAAUUUGAUGAUUUUAAAUAAAUUUUAAGUUUACAACUUAAAAAUAAUUUAAUUCAAAAUUAACUUAAAUUAUUAAGUAAUAAGUAUUAAGUUUUAUCAAAUACUCACUUAUUUUACUAUAUUGCAGCUUUCACAAUUAUAUGGGAAAUGUUGAAUACAUAGAUGUUUAUUUUCCUUGUUCCAUUAUUGUGGUUUUCUCCUCUUUUGCCUUGCCCUAUUUCAUCAUAUCCAAAUUUGGGGAUACAAGAUUGACAAAAGAGUGCUUCUAGAGAUCUUAUGGAGACUUUAUCUUUAGUUCAAUAAAUUGAUACUUUACUCACAAUAUAGAUAGUAUUCCCCAAAAUUGUGAAAGAAAAUCUUCAUUUACUACGGAUUUGUGGUUUUUUUUGUAUCUAAUUAAAUUAAAAAGAAAUUAAAUGCCUGGGAAGGAGACAUGGAAAAAGAGGUGGUUAAUUACUCUAUCUGGUCAUUUCAAUCUUUUGUAACCUAUGUGUGUGUGUGUGAAUAUGAAAAAGGAAUGUUAAGGAUCAUAUCUAUGACUCUUUCUGCUGAUUAGAUAUAAAACGCCAAUGGGUUAAUCAAUUCCAUCCCUUCACUGAAACCACAUUAUUGAAUUAGUUACAAACAAAGCCUUAUCGAAUGGGUUUUGAAUCUAAAAAAUAUGGCAUAUAUUCAAAGAAUGGAAAGGCUGGGUCUUACAGAAUAUCAUGGAUGACUGCUAAUGCAUGGACAUAUUUAUCAAGAAGAAGUUGUAAAUUCAAGACUCUGCCCAUAUUUGUUAUUUAGAUUAGGAGAUGCAGGACUCUUAGCAAUUGCCUAUUUAUUAGGCAGAAAUUAGUCACUAAAUCAAUGUCUUUAGAUCGUUGUCCUUCAUGUUUCCAAAAGUCUGUCAUUCCUAAUGAUCUAAUGAGAUCAUUGGUCAUUGGUCAUUCUCCGACGCUGUUGUAUUUUUGUUGGGUUAGGAACCUUCUUGCUUCUCCCCUUUCUUGGAAACUAACUCUUGUAUGUAACCUUAAAACCUGACAAGGAGAUACAUGGCUUGUUGAAAUAUUGGUGAAAUUAGCUAGAGGAAGAAGAUGAGAAUGUUGUUGUAAAUUCUUGGUACUUUGGGAUACUAGUCAAUGGAUUCAUCACCCACAAAACUGCAAAAACAUUCCUCGGAACAGUGAUUUACCUGAUUGGAAGUACCUUACUGAUCAGAUCUUUAUGCCGCAAGGAUCUAAGCUUCCAUGGAUAUAGGCCUAAUGUUGGUCCUAGAUUUUCUUAGUUUUCAGACUACAUCAGAUCUUUUCUGUUUUUGAAAUAAAAGAAAUUUGUAUUAUAACUUUGAUAUCAAGUGAAAGAUAAUUGUUGGAAAAUUAAGUUGAAAUUCUCUGCACAGAUACCACCAAGUCAUGAAAAAUCAAUCCAAUAAACAGCUGAAGAGGAGAAAAUUAAAUUUUUCAGAAAGACAUAUCCAAGGAACAUCAAUUUCUUGGAAGAGUUAAAAUUCUGUCCGAUACCACCAUGUAGGUGCAAGUGAUUGACCAGACCUCAGCUAGAUAGAGAAACUGACAGAAACAUGACAUCAAGCAAAACAUAUUUCUCGGGAAUUUUCAAUACAAGAAACAGGUGGGUGCAAGUUCAAUUCAAUAUAAAGCUUAAUGGAGAAACAAACAGAUCAAAAGAUGAGAUCAAAUCAAAACCAUUAGAUCUUGGAGUGUGGAGUAAGGUAACCAGUUCGGUAAGCUACAUGCAGCGAGCCCUAGCUACAAGGAUAUCGUCAGACUGUACACGAAGACUUAAAACUUGAUGAUUGCCGUACAUAAAACCACCACUGCUAAUUGACAGCCUCCACAUGCUUUGAUCUUCUGGAAUACCCAAGUGAACCUGUAGGAAACAAUUAGAAGAAAAUAAACAUUGAAGUUUAAUCUAUAAUUAACUUAUCAGCGUGAUGAAAAGAAGAAGAAUGCAUGAACAAUUUAUUCAUUUGCUUCCUAAUGCUAGUUAAUUGUAAUAAUCCUAGUAUUACGAGUAUGGAGAGGGCCUUAAGGUGAUGACAGAAGAAUAGAGAGCACAAAGGAGUGAGAUGCUGGCUCCUUGCAUUUCAUCAUCUGUGCUCUCUAUCUUCUGUCAACAACGUCACCAGUGCCUCCUCCAACAUAACAUUAAACAAAAUAUAUAUCCUGGGUAUUUUGUGUGUGUGUGUGUAACAGAGAGAGAGAGAGAGAGAGAGGGAGGGAAGGAGGAAGAGGUAGAGGAAGAGGGAGUAUGGUGGUUAGUUUUGUAAGGGAACCAAACAGAGACAGAGAGCUUUGGAUGUGAUCCUUAGGACUCCAGAGACCUCUAUUUAUAGGGGAAAGGCCAUGCCCUAUCAGAUAUACCUGUUUCACUUACAGCCUUUUUGCCCGUGAGAUGAAUGGAUAAACUAAAAGAUUGAAAUUCGCCAUAAGAUACAUCCACAUUCAUGCAUUUCACAUUGCUAUGGAAAGUUACUAUCCCAAGAGAAACCAAAAGAGGCCUUGAAAUUCAUGACAAUCAGCAUUUGCACUCAUUUAGUAUUGCCUUGCUGACAAUCUUAUUGCGGUUAAAAGUAAUGAGCAUAAAAUGCAGCUGUAGAUACAUGAUUUUUUUUCCUAAACCACUUACAUUCUAACGCCAUGCCACUGAUUGAACCAAGAAUAAGGACCCAAUAGUCUUUUGAUGUUGUAAGAGAAUCAAUUUCUUUCUGCAGUUGGGAAACAAACACGUAAGGAGGCAGACUACUUGGCGUUAUCAAAAGCUUUUGAUUUUGAAGAAUGGAACACUUAGAUAUUGCAGAAAAACAUAUUAGAAAUGGUAGACUUAUACUGCAUCAAUAUGACAGGAAAUAAAUAGCUGGAUGAAUUAAGGUGGAACCGCCAGUGACAUUGACAUUUAAAACUAAUUUUCAUAUAUGCCUGCUGUUCUCAUGAUUUUUUUUAAGCCACUAAUUUGCCUUAUUCAAACAUUGAUGUCCCUAUUUAGUACAGGACUUUAUUUUUGGCAAUUUUAAUCGUCAGUCACAAUUGAUCUAGUUUAACAAAAUUUCCUAUCUCCUUUUAGGGAAGAGAGUAGAGCAUGAAUUCAUAGAAGUUAUACACUCUUUUUCAGUCCAUAAUCAACUUUUGACAGUAUUUUCCAUUCAACAUGCUUGGAAAUGACUACAUGAUAUAUAUAUGUUACAGCUAGCCAUAAUAAAAGUGUUUAGUGGUAGUUACUUUGUUCAAACAUGUCAUCUUGAGAUCAUUGUUCAAGUUGUUUGUCCAGACGUAUUACUUUAUAGUUUAUCAGGCACACAUGAUGAAUUAAGGGAAAGUGCCAACAGACCUAAUGCAAAUGCAUUUCAGUUUGUUAGAAUAGCAGUUUCCUUGUUUUAGGAAUAUGCUAUAAUUUUUGAAUGGGGUGUAGCUUUGACAUUACUUCAAAUUGAUCAACUUAUUAAUGGAGCCUUGCUUAACCAUUAGAGGGUACUGUUUCCAACUAGCUAGUGGUCUUUAACUCUGGAUAAUGGGUGGGAAAUGAAUUACAAUAUUAACUAGGGGCAGUUUUAUAUGGUGCUGGCCUCCAUUAAUUUCUCUUAAAUUGACGACUUGCAUUAAGUCUUCAGGAAUUACCUAUAUCUGCAGGGAAAUAGCUAAAAAUUCACACUACCAUUCCAUAUAUAUAUUUGUGUUAGCAACCACAACUUUCUUAUGAAAUUAUUGAGGGAGAGGGGCAGGGAUAGAGACAGAGUGAAUGCCGUCAGGGAUUAGGCAUGCUUGCAAGUUGCCAAGAAGCAUGGAGAAGAAAGGAAAGAAGUGUGGAAUCCCUCACCGCAAAAACCUUAUCCUAGCACUCAUAAUUUGUCCACUUUCUUGGAUGACCAAAUGGGGCGGUGCACCGGUCCUUUUAGUUUCCACUUGUCAUCACCCCACAAAGCUUCGCUCUUAUUCCUUUUGUCGGCUUUCCUCGCCUCAUCACAGCUAUCAUGGCCCUACUCUCAAAAUUAAACUUAUAUAUACGUAGGGCUCAACUUUGCCAUGGUCCUGUCUAUUUGUAGAAUGUACUAGUUCGAUCAUUUUUGGAAUGUCAUAUGAUUAAACUUGUUAGAGGGUGAAAAUUGUACUGCUCAUGAAGUAUGAGGAGGCUAUCUUCAUGUUUGAGAAGUAAAAGAGUUAUUUAACACCAUAACCUCCUUUUACAUUUUCCUCUUUCAUUUGAAUACAUUAUUAUGGAAAAUUAUCUCUCUCCUGAGGCAUGAAAUAUCUCAAACAGAUUUAAGGUCUCUAUAUAUAUAUAUUCAAAAGUAAAUUUUUAUAAUAAAAUAAAAUUCUAAUUUCUAAUAAAAAGUAAAAAUUAUUUUUUAUUUUUCUAAAAACUGUAUGUAAAAAUAAUUUAAUUUAUCACACAUCUAUUUUACAAAAAUAACAAUUUAUUUUUAUUCUUUGAUAUUAAAAACAUUUUUUUUAAAUAGCCAAAUUGUUCCUAUACUUUCCAAAAUAGAAACUACUUUUCGCCAUUUAACUAAAUUGUCCGAAUAUUUAUAUAGGAAAACCACUCAACAUGUACAUCUUGGGUUGGCUGGCUGAUUGUUGGAGGAAUUAAACGUAAGGGAAUUUUUCAAUAGUGGUUAAGCAUAUUUUUCUUUUCCUUUUUUGGAUUGAUGUAUCUUUAUUCCUUUCCUUUUUCAUUAUUAUAUAAUUGUUAAUUGAUCACCCUUUUUGCAGCGAACCCUUUCUGACCAUAUCUAAAGAAAAGGCAUGAGCAUUUUGAAUUCUUUUAGGAUGCGAUCAUACAUGGCAACCUUUCUGAAGUUCUCUUCCAAUUUCUAUUCCUCAACCCCUAUAUUUCUUUAUAUUAGCAAUGACAAUCUAUGAUAAUAGGCAUAUAUAUCUUGUGAGAAAGUAAAACCCUUAAAUGUUUUCCCAAGUGCUUAUUGGAUGUGCAAUGCAUAAAAUUUCAUAUAACAAUGUGUUUAAACAACUUUAACGAGAACAACUUGUAGUUAUAGGUUUUUCCUUUUUUAUUUCUUCUUUUUUUUUUUUUAAUUCAUAGUUAUGUACAAAUUAAUGUACAAAGUCUACUGUUUUUUCAUAUAAAUUUGCAUUCCUAAAUGUUAUUUUUACUCCCGCAUGUAAAAAUUAACCUCAUGAUCAAGAUAACUAAAAGUUUUUCACAUAAAUUUGCAUUUUGAUAAGAUUUUUAGUUGAUGUUUGGAAUCAUGAUGUCUAUGCUCAUCCAUGAGUUUCAUAUCCCAACAAAUUUUCAUAACAUAACUUCGUAUUUCAUAACACUCCCCUUAGAUGAUUAUAAGAAUAUGUAUUGUUAAAACCUAACUAGUAAAAACCCAAUGGGAAAAUCUCCAUUGAAGGAAAAAAGUACAAUAUUUUAAAAAUGAUUUAACCAUUAGGAUUAGCACAUUAAGAACCUUACCAAAAAAAUCUAAUGGGACAAACUUGGAUGAAGGAAAAAAAUAGUACAAUGUAUCCAUAUCAAUAUUUUCUUGUCCAUGUGGCACAUGUUUAUGCCAUCUUCAAGGUUUCAACUUAUAAAUCUUUCAAUCUCUACAUCCCAAUGUUAUAUCUUAACCUUUUCAAUGUUAUAUCUUAACCUUUUCAAUUUAAUAGAUGGUAAUUCUUUUGUGAAUAAAGUUACUACAUUGUACUAGAUAAUAACACUUUUGUGAAUAAAUUAGUUAUAUUAUUGUCAUGAUUGUAUCUAUUGAAUAUCAAUUUUCAUCAUUCUCAAACAGUUUAUGAGUGUAGAAAAACUUGGGAAAAAUAUGCUUAGUUUUGUCGCCUUUUAUAAAUCCUCUUUUAUUUUAUGUAAGACAAGUAACAAUAUCUUUAUGUAGCUUUGUCGAACUGUAUUUGAUGAAAGCAAUUGAGAUUUUGAUCAAUUCGAAUAAAAUAAACCCAUGUCAAAUGUUUUACAAAAAUAUCGUAAUACAUUUUUUACUCAUUCCAUUGUCUUCGAGUUGGUACAAAACUAUAUCUUGCCAGAAAAUUGAUGAAAGAUGUUAUAUUUGAUUGUAUAUAAUUUGCAAGAUACAUCAGUGUACUAAUAGCACCAAGAUAAGAUACUUUCAAACUAAAUAAUUAUUCAUUAUCUUCUUUAUGAUGAAAGGUGUCUUUUUUCACAUCAAGUGAACAAAUUACCAUUUUGAAGUACUUAAUAGAUGUGAUUUGUCCAUAUGAAAGUGUUUCAAAACUUUGUCCAUGCAUAUUGAUUGAUUGGCUAACUUUCCACUUGAAAAGUGUUCAAUGGUAGGUUGAGACAUAAUUUUAUUUUCCAAAAAUCUUUCAUUUCAAGUUCUUUUUUUGAAAUAAUUAACGAUUCUUGUGAGUUCUUCAAGAGUUCGUAGCUCUUCAAGAGUUCCUAAAACGUUCAAAUUAUCCAUAUAUUGCAAAUACAAUUUCUUAGUUCUUAAUAAAAAUGUACAUGCAACUUGAAUUGCUCACAUGUCUUUCAUUUGACAAAUACUUGCUAAGAGAAUUAUACCAUAAGUGUACAGAUUGUUUUAAUCUAUACAAGGAUCGAUAAAAUUUGCUUGAAUACAUACUACAAAGUUUUAAACUAUUUAUUUUAGUACUUGGAAUCCCAAAGAGAUUUUCAUACAUACAUACAUUUUCACACACACACACAAAGAAUAUAUAUAUAUGACUCCCAAACUAAUCAAAUAGAAAAUGUCAUUGCAUUCAUAACGGGAUAGUUCAUUUCCUUGUAGUCAAUACUAGGUUCCUGCAAGAAACUUUUUUUUUUUUUUUAAAUUAUGUUUUCUACUUCUAUUAGUUCCAUACAUAUCAUAAACAUUUUUAUUUUAAUAAUAUAAUAUUUACUAUCAUUAGUGUAUAACAUAACCAUUAUAAUAAAUUUUAUUACCAACUCAAUGUAGAUUAUACUCUUUUUUCCUAAUUUUUUUUGCCAUUAUUCUUACAUUAAUGAAGUAUAGGAAUUUUACAUUACCAUAAAAACCUAAAUAUUUUUUUUGAUGAAGCUAGAAAAAUUAGCACAAAAUGGAAAUAUUUUUUAAAAAGGGUACAACAAAUAAAAUUAAAUUUUCCUUCAAACUUUGGAGUGCAAUAGAAAACAAAUUUUGCAAGUCAAUUGAUUAUUUCACUUUAGCCAUGAUCGUAGAAUUUUAGAAUCCACUUGGCAAAAAAAUAAAUAAAUAAAUUCAAUUAUCAACUACAAAAGAAACUAGGAAAUAAAAUUUAAAAACAAUGUAACAUUUGAUGUGAAGAGUAGUUAUGAAAGUCAAGGUUCUAGAUAAGAAAGGAUAAAAAAAAUGGAGAGCUUAUCAUAGAACUUUUAACAUUUUGGUUAUAAAUUUUUACCUUUCAAUUAGUGCUUUCUUAUUUUUGUUAGUUUCCAAACUCUUUAUAAUUAGGUUUUCUAUUGAAUGUAACACAUUUUUUUGGUAGUUUUGUUCUCAUUUAUUUAUCUUUUCCUUUUACCUGCAUAUUCUUAAGACUUUUUAAGAAUAGUUAAUCUAUGGAUUAGUCACUUACCAUAAAACUCAUAACAUUUUGCUUAUAUAUUUGUACUUCCAACAACUUUUAAGAGUAGUUAAUGUGUGAAUUAAUAGUGACUUACCAUUGAACUUACAACACUUUGCUUAUAUUCUUCUGCCUUCAAACCAACUUAUUUUUCCAAAAUUUGAUAUUAUGGAGUUUGUAUGAAUGUCAAAACCUCUAUAUGUCAUAUCAAGGGAGAACCCUCUUUUGUUUCUUGUUUUGUACUUACUUUAACCUACUUUAAUAUUUAGAAUGGAAUCUUGUAUAUAUAUAUGUCAUGACAUAAACAACUUAUCAACAAAAAAUUCUCAUCCUUUCAACUCAACUACAAAAUGGAAUCUAGAGAUCAAAGGUAUAAAAGUUAAGUAUGCCUUUCACAUAAUAGUCAAAUCCAUACUAUAUUAAAAAUUCACUAAUGUAUUGCAUUUUCAUAAAUGAAUGACACAAUAAUAGAUCAAGUACAAGCUCAAAAAAGUAAUUAUCGAAGAAGUCAUUAUGCUAGGUUAACAACUAAACAAUGAGUAGAAUAUAUACAUGUUAUGGAUAAUAAAAAAAAAUAGAAGUAUAAGUGUGAUGUUGAUGGAAACUACUUCAUCUGAGCAUGGCCCGACAAUUGUUGUGGAUGGAAUAAGAUUGGUUACCUCUAAUGAACCAUGUGUAAUGCUAGAAUAACUAAAAGGCGCACAAAAAAAGUUCACUACAUCAAUUUUUUGUUUGUUUGCAUGUACGUUCUUAGAAAUAACACCAAAAUAUUUUGAUGUAGGUGAAGCAACAUGUCACAUCAUAUGUUCUCCAUUGUAUGAGUAAAUUAAGAGACAAUCUUGUAGCUUUUUGAUGAAAAGCAUUUCCAAUAUGAACCACUAAGCUUAUGUUGUUACAAUGGGUAAGUAGUGUUUUCUAUCCCCCAAGUUCUCAAAGACUUAUACAAUUUAUAUAUUUCUCAAAGUAAAGAAGCUUUAGAGUUUUGUCAAUAUAUUCGAGCUUAUAAUAGAUAUUCUUAUUUACAUAGUUUGGAGUAAAGUUGGACAAAGAGCUAGCAAGUUCAAGAAAAUGGGUUUAUAUAUUUCAUGCACAAGGACAAAUAUAUCAUGACCUCCCAUCUUGAUUACCAUCAAAUGAUUCCCCAUGUCUCUUUCAAUUAUAUUUCUAUUAUAUUGAUAAUGAAGUUCAAAAAUAGGUUGAGUCCUAAAAGAUGUUGUAAUUAAUGAGGCUAUUGUUCAACUAUUGUGAGGAUAUUGUUAGAAAACCUAUAUGCACAACUUUUUUUUGCUGAUUAGAGACUCUUCAAUUAAAUGCUUACAAAAUUCGUAUACAAAGUUACAUUAAAUUGGAUUAAAGAGUUUACAAUUCCUUAUCAGUUGAUCAAGUGGCUGCUACAUGGAAGGAAGGAAAUAAUCUUAAUCUAGCUCAUGAACAUGAUAUUAUAGUUCGUACACAUUCAAGUCACAAAUAUACUAUUAAACACUAUUAUGGUUGUUAUGAUCCAUUACAGUAUUGUCUAUUAUUUUCUAAAGGAGAUGUUUGGUGGCAUCAAAACAUCUUGAAAAGAAAUUCUAUCUAGACUAGAAAUGAUUUAGCAUAGACACAUGGUGAUUCAAGAGUGCAUAAUUUUGAAUAUGUGGAAGAUAUUAUGAAUCAGGAACAACGAUGUGUAGAUGGUGGUAGAAACAAAAAGGUAUCAUGUCGACAAUAUUAUUAUUAUAAAUUACAAAUAAGAAAUGAUUAAUCAAUCCUAUUGCAUUCUAGUUGUUUAUUGCAACAAUAUAUAGUUAACAUGUAUAUUAAGCUUGAGAUAACAAUAUUAGAUUAUUUUAAAAAACAAAAAUAAAAAAUUAGAGUGGAGUUGUACCAAGGAAUCGUAGAAAGUGUGCUAGCUAGAGAAAGUAAGGUAAGUAAAGUCAGGAAAAAAAAUGUUUUUCCUACAUCAAUUGUAGGUGGUCCUAGAGACAUGCGUUGUAGAUAUUUAUGUUUUUGGUCCAACGAUUUGGAAAAACUGAUCAUUCUAUAACAAUGACAUGCAAUCUUGAGUGGAAAGAGAUUCAAGAUGAAUUAAAAGAAAAUCAAAUCCCACAUGACAAACUUGAUUUAACUUCAUGGGUUUUUCAAGUAAAGUUACAAGAUUUGAAGGAACAAUUAUUGAAAAAACUCAUAUUUGGAAAAGUUGCAACACAUGUUCAUGUGAUAGAAUUCCAAAAAAGUAGAUUACCUCAUGCACACAUUUUGAUAAUUUUAAGACCAUAACAUAAAAUUAUGAGCAUUGAUUAAUAUAACAAAUUUGUGAGUGCUAAAAUUCCAAAUCCUAUAAGAUAUCCAAGUUUACAUGAAAAAGUUGUAAAACAUAUGAUGCAUGGUCCCUGUGAAGCAUUGAAGAAAAAAUAAUCCAUGCAUGCGAGAUGAAAAACAAUCACCUUCACCAUUUUUCCACUAAAAUAGUGCAAAGUAAAGACUCUUAUCCAAUUUAUUGUAGGAGAGAUGAUGAACAACAAGUAUCUAUCUAUAAUGCAACAUCAGAUAAUCAUUGGGUAGUGCCUUACAGUCCAUAUCUUUUAACAUGAUAUAAUUGCCAUAUUAAUGUGGAAGGAUGUUCAAGCAUCAAGGUAGUUAAGUAUAUUUACAGAUACACAUAUAAGAGGGCAUGAUAGAGUUGCGGUUUAUACAACUAAUUGUAGUGAUGGCAUUUUAGUUGAUGAAAUUCAACAAUUUCAAGAUGCUCGAUGGGUAUCAACACAAAAACUUAUUUAGAGGAUUUUUGAGUUUGAUUUAAAUUAAAUAUAUAUAUAUAUAUAUAUAUAUAUAUAUAUAUAUGACAAUUAUCAACUUACAAUUGCUCUUUCAAAAUAAGCAAUUAGUCAACACAUGUUCUUAUAUAAAGAAUUCCCAGAGUAUUAUGAUUGGGACAAGAAGUGUAAGUGUUGGAAUAAAAUGAAAAGUUAAGAGGUAAUUGGUCAAGUAAAUGGAGUAAACACAUUAGAAGGUGAAUGAUAUUAUUUGAGAUUUUUCUUGAAACAUAUUAAAUGUCCAGCUUCUUUUCAAUAUUUAUUGAGUUACAAUGGAGUUAAAAAUUUAUCAUUUAGGGAGACUGCAUAAAAACAAGGUUUGCUAGAAUAUAAUGACUCUAUAUUAGAAUGUUUAUAUAAAGCUACAUCAUUUCACAUGCCCUUAGAAAUGCAUCGUCUUUUUUUUUUACAUGUUAGUUUAUUGUUGAAAAACCAAAGUCUAGUAGGGUAACACCCAAAGAGGGGUGAAUGAGUAUAAUUAAAAAUUAAAAUAAAGAUUUAUAUGUUAUACCCAAUCUUUUUUGCCCUACAAGAUAGUAGGAAUAACCAAGAUAUCCAAUCAACCAAUAUAAUCAAGAUGAAAUCUUUAUAGGAUUGCAUAUUAGACAACUAAAAGAUGAAAUCUUUAUGUCUCAAUCUCAAUAUGCUAGGGAAUUAGUUAAGAAAUUUGGUCUAAAAACCUCUAAACGCUCUAGGACACCUAUGAGCACUACCACUAAGCCUAGCAAGGAUACAUUUGAAAUUUUUUUGACUAAAAAUCUAUAGGAGUAUGAUAGGAAGCUUGUUAUACCUCACUACGAGUCAUCUUAACAUAUCCUUUAGUUUUGGAGCUUGUGCUAGGUACUGAUUCGAUGCCCAGUUGGUGUAUCAACUGACUUAUGUCCAGCUGGUGCUCCUUGAUUAAGGUAGUAAUCAACAAAAUUUAUAACCUAUUGCACCAUGAACUAGGGUAGCAAAGACAAAGCUACUAUAGCAUAGUGGCUCUAGGAUCAUUCACUGGGAAGGGUUUUCAACUCACAACUGAUACCAAUUCAAAGCCGAGUUGGUGUUUUUUCAUUUCAAGGUUAGCUUUAAAAGAAAACAUAAAGUUGUUUGAGUGAAAAGGGUUUGGUCUUAACUAACCAAAAAGAAAGUAAUGGAAAUUACUUAAGAAGCAAAACAUUCCUUGGAGGUUUAGGUUCAUAAGGGAGGUUCCUUAUGCAAAAACAAAGCUCCGGUCAUUUGGUUUGUUUCCUCGCAUUAGAGAAUUAACAUAUAGUCAAUUCUCUAACCGGUGUUGUACAAAUGUAACCUUUAAAUGGAUUUCAGCUCUAAUUCCCUCUCAUUGAUGCAACUUGCAAUGGCUCGUGCCUCUCACCUAGCAUUUGCCAUUCAAAGUGAUCUUUAACUUUGGACUUCCCUUCUCAAGCUCGCAAGAGAUAACUAAUGGACGUCUCCUUGGAGUCCAAAAGCUUACCAAGUGUUGGCAAUUCUAGAAAAUCCUACCUCCAAGUCAUUUCCCAAAAGCUCGCAAGAGAUAAACAAGUGCAUCUCCAUGGACGGAGAUCACGUGUCUUACCAAGUGCUGGCUCAAGUGACUUGAAGGUGUUUUAAGUUAACUAAAAACAUAGAAAUCAUUAAAGGAUCAUACUUUCUCUUCAUUAAUGACUGAAACCACAAAGCUACUAAUUCUUGCACUUGGAACCUUUCCUUGCAACCUUAACUCUAAGGAACUAAAAGUCUAGCCACUCAUUCUCUGAGGAAACUUCCUCAGAGCUUGUUUGGCUAGUAAGAAAACUAACGAGAAAACAAAUAUAUGACGGAAAAACAGAGCAAGUGCUCUGGAAAUAUAUUUCUUUCUUUCAUAAUAGAUUGAUCUUCUUCUUUUUGUAAAAAAAAUUACAAACUAUAUAUAUGAGGUUAUUCACCCUUUUUUUACUUACUUAAAGACUAAGGAAUCCUAUGAUAAGUGGAUUAAAAGGAGAGUUUGGGGAUUUAGACAACAAAUAUCUAAAGCAAAAUAUCCCAAAAUAUCUCAAAAUAUCGGUCGAAAAUAUCAGGAAGGUUCAGGAGAACACCGUUGCACUGUAUACUGAGAGAAAAACUCUGCAGGUAAGCGUUAUCAGAAGGUCCGGAUAUGUCUAUCCGGAGAAGUUGAAGCGUCAUCCUCUCCCAUCUGGAUGUGAGAUAUCCGGAUGUAAAAUGUCAACGCACGGAACGUCCUCCUUUCCCAUCCGGAUGUGAGAUAUCCGGAUUAGGCGGAAUGCCAGCCGGAUAGAAUUUUUUCCCGUGUGCAAGGUGUAGGGACCCCUCUCUUGGAUGACAUGGAGAGUGCAAGGCUAUCUGGAUCAACUCCAUCCAGAUUCCCCAAGAGGACAUAUGGCGUGCUUUCCUAUUCGGACUCCCUCUGGGAGAAGCACACGACAUUCGUGAACAUCACACCCGGAUGAUAGCAUAUCCUAUCCGGAUACGUUGUCCGGAUGGAAAAACAUUGACUAAAGCGAGCAAGCCUUGCAACUUCAUUCUGAAAGCCUGUCACAGCCCAUGUUCCGCCGCUCUCUAAUGGUGUGCCUGGAAGCCCUGUCCGGACAUCUUUAACUCCUUGUAUUCCAGAUUUGCUUAUGGAAAAGGACUUCAAAGCUUUGGUUCUACAUGUUUCUGAGCUUUCCAAUGCUUUUCCAUGGAUUCCAAAGAACUCUCCUCAAUCUCUGAUUGCUUUGGUGAUAAAAAAGCUAUCAAAAUACCAAAACUUAACACAAUUUGAUUAGAAUUGAUUGCAAGGGUCCUUAAUAUGUUAAUUGGGUUAAAAGGUGAUAACUACUACUCAAAAGCAUUUAAAAGAGUUAAUUACAGGCUAUCAAAUAGCACUUUUUGAGUGGUAAUCAGGUACCAAGCAAACCCUAAAGAGUCAUCAUUUGCUUCUAUUAAAAGAAUUAUACGAUAUUUUUGUGUGACUUUAUACUAUGGUUUGUGGUAUCCUUAUGAUUUUUCUCUUGUGAUUGCUAGUUAUUCCAAUGUUGACUUGGAUGAAAAUGUUAAGGAUAGAAAAAACACAUCCAAUGCUUGUUUUUUUUUAUUGUUGAUUGUCUUGUGGUUUGGCUUAGUAAGAAACAAAAUUCUAUAUCUUUAUCUAUUGUCGAAGCUGAAUACAUUGUUGCUAGAAGUUAUUGUACACAACUCUUGUGGACGAAACAAAUGCUGAAAGACUAUAAGAUUGAACAAGGGACCAUGAACAUACAUUGUGACAACUUUAGUGCUAUAAAUAUCUGAAAGAAUUUUGUUUUUCAUUCUCAUACUAAACACAUUGAAAUUUGUCAUCAUUUUAUUAGGGAUUUGAUUAAAGAAAAGUUUGUCACUCUAGAGUUUGUCCCACUGAACAUCAAUUAACAGAUAUCUUUACAAAACCCUUGGAUUCUCUUAGGUUUGAGUUUCUUAAGAAAUCCAUGGACAUAUACCUAAUUGACUACUCAUCCAAUGUUAUAGGCCUUAGAAGGAUUGUUUUUAUUAUUAUUAUUAUUAUUUUUAAUUUCUUUAGCCUUCUUUUCGUUUACUUUGGGCAUAUGAUUUUUGUUUAUUUACUUGAUAUAUUAGCAUGAUUUGUAAUAUCUUGAGUUUGUAAACUAGAGAAAUAUAUUAUAUCUACAAGACUUGAUGUGGAUUGAUUCUUAGAUAUUUGUAAUCACUAUUGACGUACAUGAUUCAUGAUAAUUAAGUGUCUUUGUAUAGUGGAAUUUCAAACUUAGUUACAUCUUAUGCUUGAUUAAAAGGGAGACUUCUUAAGUUUAACUCAUAAAGUAGACUUUAUUCACUUUGGAAGGAUCCUUUGUCAUGUUCAAAUCUUAUUAUCCACAUGGCUUGCUUGACUAAGAUCAUUAUAAUUGUUUCUUGAGGUGAGUCAACAAAUUCAUGAAUCAUUGGUUAAGCAAAACUCUCAUGCACUUUCUAAGAUUCAUGCUCUUAAAUAUAAGUUACUCGCAACAUUUGGAAACAUCCCCAAAGUGGAUACAACCAUGAAUGAAAAUAAAAUGAAAAAUCAAAAGAGCUCAUGAUGUACAAUGCCUCCACUUUCAAAAGAAAAAGAAAGAAAAGAAAAGAAAAGAAAAAUAUGUUAUCAAAUUAAGGGGGAGUCAAGUUGUGUAAGUAAAUAAAUGAGGUCAUGUUAAAUAGAAAUCUGAAAAUCUUAGAAUGAAUUGAUUGGAUGUUACUUUAAUUUAACCAAAGACAUGACUAGAUCUUUUCUAAGUGAUCAAUUUCAAAAUAUAGAAUUAGACAGUAAGUUGUAUUCCCUUGAAGAUCAAUACUUAUGUUUUUAUGUUGACCCUCUUAUACAUUGAUAGUUAUGCAUUAGGUUGCUAAGCAUAUAUUGCAAUUUACUCUAUUCUUUGACUUAAAACAUCAUUCUUGAUGGAUUGAUGUAUGUUAUAAAGGAAAUUCACUUGGUAUAUUGCUAAAUCUAAUGUUGAUAGUUUAAGAGCAUUAUGAUUUUGUCCAAGGUGUUCUUUUUGUCAUUAUUUCAAUUCUUGUGUAUUUUAGUUUAGUUUCAAGUUUGUUUGGUAAGAAUUUCUUCUUUCUUAGUAUUGAGCUUCUGUAGCUAGUGCUCAAGCACUAUUUCCAACACUUCAAGCGCUUAAGCACUAUAAGUUGCUUCUAAUACCACUUUGAGCGAUCAAACUGCUCGAGUACUACAAGUCAUUUCCAACACUCGAGUGUCUCAAGCCCUAAUCUACAUUGAGCACUUUUGUAAAGCAUAAAUACCUAUUUCCAAUGGGCCAUAUCCACUUUCCAUCAUUUCUAGCUUGUUUGAGUGCAUUGGGUUUCCACCUUUUUGUCAUUUCAGGCCAGUUGACCUCAUUUUUUGAGUUUUCAUUCGCAUAGUAUUGUUCAAUACUUCGUUUAUGGCAUUUCUAGCAGUCUAGUUUUCUUUCGUUGUUUUCUUAGUGUUUCUUGGUUUUAGUAUCUUUUUCGUAUUUCACUCGCUUAGUAUGGCUAGUCGUAGGCAUCAAUGUGAGGUGACUCAUCCUAGGUCACCUGAGCCCAUUUAGGCAUCACUUUUUAGGGUCCUUUCGACAUGGGAGACCUUCUAGUAGAGUGUUUCCACUAUCAGGAGGAAUGUGACUAUUUCUAUGCCUCUUCUGUGAUUGUCGUAUCAAGAUCGAGCAUCCAAUUGACCUUAGAGCUUUCCAAGACACUUUUCUCCCAACAUCAUUCAUGAAUGAGGGUGGAAGACUCUCUUUUCUCUCUAAGGGACCUACUACCCCCAUCUAGUGCAGAUGUUCUAUGUGAACAUGCACUUCAUAGUUACCGGUCUCACUUUUAGAGUGACUAUGUAUGAUCAAUCUUUUCUCGUCUCUUCCAGAUCCAUCUGAUGUGUACUUGACAUACUGUGACUUGAGGCUUGUGUUUUUUUUUUCUCACAGAUGGUACAGGCUCUCACUAAAAGGGAACUUGAUGCCACUCAAAUUGUUUUUGUGGCACUCCUUACCCACUGCCUUCUUACAUCUCCGUCAUUGGCUUCUUUAAGCAAGCAUGGCUUCUUGCUACUUUCUUCACCUAUUCAUUCUACUCAUCUACCCAUCAAAUCUGGAUACGUUGAUCAUCUGCUUGGUUCAUUCAUGUCAUUCUCAUCGGCCAACAAUUCAACAUCGGUCAGGUCAUCUUGGAUGUGAUGACUCCUUACCACGAUCCUUCCUAUAAAGGUGAUGGCCUUCCUUUCACCCUUCUUAUCUUUUAGAUCUUGAAGAACAUUGGAUUUGAGAUUAAUCCAACCUUGAGGGUCUAAGCUUCCCAUGCCUACUUGGAUGGGAGCUCCAAUGCCAAGCACUACAACCAUGUAUAUGGUCAUGGCACCCCCUACUUCCCAUGGUCCUCAAGAUUCUAUUCUAGCUUUGGAGGUAGCAUAGAAGGCUCUUGCAAAGAAGGAUGAGCCAUGAGCUAUGGAGCAAGACACUCCCAUUCCAAAGGCAAACUUUCCAAAGCCAGCUCUAAGACUCAUUUUAGUCACGGUUAUGCUAAUUCUUCCCAAGCUACUCACACUGCACUAACUUUAGUCAACCCAACUACCAAGAAAUGGUAGAUUCCAUGACAUUUCUUCACAUGAGAAUGGAAUCAUAGGACACUCAACUUCGUGAGAUCCAGGGUCAGCUUUCAUAUAUUAUUUCGUGCAUCCACUUUUAGGGCGUAUUGAGCUCCACUUUUUUUUUGCUUUCUCUGGAUGCUUAGUUUUAUUAUUAUUAUUUAUUUAUAUUGAUUUGAAUUGUUCUCUUAUUGUAUUUUUUUUACAUCCAAAAUCCUAUAUAUAUAUAUAUAAUGUUUUAUCUUUUUCUUUUGUCUCUUGUGUGCUUUUUAGUUCAUAUUUUAUAUACUUUGCCAUUUUGUGACAAAAAAAAAUGGGAGAUCAUUGACAAAAAGGGGGGAAAACUUUUUAUAAUUGACAAGCUUCUUGAUUCACAUAAAUAGGAAGAGCUUAUUAAAUUUGAGAAAAGACAAUGGUAAUAUUCUUGGACAUUAGGGGGAAGUUAUUCAUUUAUUUAUUUUUAUUUAUUUUUAUUUUUAUUGCAUUCUUUAGUUAGUUAUAUUUGAAUUGUUUAAUUCAUUUUUUAUACAUUUAAUUCUUAAGGGAAAUUAAUUAAAAUAUUGGAGGAAACUAAUCCUAAGACAUUGGAGGAAACCAAAUCAACUGUUGAAAGCAUGCCUUAAAAGUUUAAAAAGAGAUACUUGACACAAAUGUUUCUUGCAAGAUAUUUCUGUUUGCAUUAUCUAUCUCUCUAAAACUAUUCUAACUCAUAGAAGCUUCUUCCUAUGAUCUUCAUUGCCUAUUUUCUAGUUGGAGAUAGAUUUUUGUGCUUUAUUGUUGAUCUAUUAUGUCUUAUCAAGCUUCUAUUAUGUUUUUUUUUUUUUGUUUUUGUCUUUUGCAUGCAUCUAUAUUCUUCUCAAGUUUUGCUUUGUACAUUGGUGUUGCUAUAGGAAUUUGUUCAUUUUUCUUGCUUUCACAAUGCAUCAAGCAAAAUCUCCAACUAUCCUAUUAUAUUACUUUGAUCUUAUCUUAUCUCACACAUUGCUUUACCUUUUGUAUAGUUUUCAAUAUGUGUGCAAGUUACAAGUUUAGGAAAUACGUACUACAAGAUGGUGAAAUGCAUUUCCUUAAGUUAAUUUUAAUUGAGAAUUAAUUUGUAUUAUGUAAACUCUUUUAUGAGAGUUCGGUAGCUUUAUGUAACUGUGUUUUGUCACAAAAUUGCCAAAGAGAAAGAUUGUUAAGAUAUUGAGUCUUGUUUAUAUGUUAACAAUUUUGUUCCAGUUAAUGUUUGGCAAUAGAAGUCCUUUUAGAUAGUGACUUACUCUCUAUUGAAGAUCAAAAGUUUCUAUUCAUCCAACUAUGAAGUCACAGGAACAUAAAAAGGUUUGGUUUGUGGCAAUUUAGGCUCCUAAGAGGUAUAAAGAGGAAUGGUACUCUUUUAAUUAAAGAAAAUUAAUUUUUUAUGAAUUUAGAAAGAAAUAGGGGACACUUGAGUGGGCAGUAGCGCUCAAGUAUUGGGAUCGCUUAAGCACUUAGCACCACUCAAGCGCACGAGGUGCUCAAAUAGUGAUUAAGUGUGCUCGAGCACUUAUGAAUUUUCUACUAGGAUUUGGAGAAUAUUUUUAAAAUUUCACACAAAUUAGAUUUGGAAACCUAUUGAUACUGAACCUCUUCAAGUUAUUUGCCUAUAAAUAUCUUUCUAUAUAACCUCUCAAGAGUUAGAGAUCUUAAUGUUUAUAGAGAGGGUUUCAUUGAGGAGAAAGCCUAACAAGCCACGCCAUUCUCGAUCUUUCAUUCAAAGGAUUCAAGCAUUGAAUUUUGGGUUGAAGACCUUCAUCCCUUCAAUGAGGUUGAAGCAUAUUCAAUAGAACAAUCAGAGGUUGUUGUGUCAUGAAUGAAGAUCAAGUUGUAGGUAUUGGAGAGUAAGUCUUUAGGGUAAAAUAGUUAGUUAAAUAUGUGUAACUUAAUCCCAUAUAAUGAAUUUAGAUUAGUAGUCUUAGACCUUGUGGUUUUUUACCUCCACAGUUAGUGUAGGGGUUUUCCACGUAAAAAUCCUUGUGCUUUAUUACAUUUCUUUAUUAUCUUAUUUGCAUUGCCUAUAAUUGAGAGAAUUGAUAAUCCUUAACUACUCAUAGGGAAAAGUUAAUUAUAAUAUAUAAAUAUUUAUUUAAUUUUUUUAAUACACUUGUUCACACCCUACCCCCCAUUUAGGUGUUACUUUACUGGACUUUUGGUUUUUUCAAUUAGGAUCUUCAAAUAAUUAUGACAAAUCCAAGUGGGUUAUGUCCUUAAUUUCAUUUCUUUUUGCAUUUUGUGAAGCUUGGAGGUCGAUUAAAUGCUUUGAUAUAUGAUAGGUGCACAACUAAUGCCCUUUCAUGUCACAUAUAUAGCAUUCAUUCUCAUGAGUCUUUUUUCCUUAUAAAUAAUAUUUCCCAUUUUCUAAUAUCGGUUCAACGUUGUUAUAUUUCUAGUGGUAGGGUGUAUUUUCCUAAGCUAAGAAUGGUUAUAGCCACUACAAUGUUUGGAAUUAUGUUUACCACAACCCUAACCACAUUUGGCCAUAAUUAUGACCAUGUUCACCUUCUCUAUCAUUGACAAGGUGACAUUUUCU